rnacentral:lncRNA from 1 species
GUUAAACUAUUUAAGACUCAAAUUUAGCUCCACUUAAAGCAAAUUUGGUGCAGAUAAAUUGAAACCAGCCACAGAAAGACCAAACAAAAAGACAAAAAAACACAAAACCUUGGACAUAAACAGAAAGACCUAGAUCAAGCAAUAGUUGGAGAAACCCCAGUAACAAAGCUCAGAACUUGAAGGCAAAAUCGAGUAGAAAAAUGAUAAUGCAGAAUAUGGUGUUUGGUUAAAUACAGAGGAGGCAUCCCCAGUCACGAUGAUGAGCGGAAACACCAGGAGUCACGAUUCGCGGUGGUGGAUCCGGGAAAAGAUGAACUCCGUUUGAAGGGGAAGGUGAGAAGAUAGCGUCGGUAGCGACCUCCAAAGCUGACGGCGGCGAGGUAGAGACGGUCACUUGCAUCAACGACGUAGUGUAGGCGGUGGUUCUGACCGGUGGGAGGUGAGCGUCGGCGAGACCGUGGCCUGGUGUUGGUUCCCUAAUCUGAUUAUAAUAGAUGACUAAAAACAAAACCAACACGCCAGACAGGAAAGAGGAAAGCUGGCAUUGAAUGAAGUUUUGCCGUUUGCCACGUGUAUUAAAAAUAACAUCGCCGUCCAAUGUCCAAUUUUAAGGACGAAAAGUAAGAGUUUCAAAACAAUGAGGAUUAAAAAUUAUCGAUGUUUCGAGUAGGGAUUAAAAUCAAAAUCCAAUGAUAUUUAAGCAUUAAAAACAUAUUUAACUCUUUAAAUUACAUAAAAC